rnacentral:rRNA from 2 species
CAACAGGGAUUGCCCUAGUAACGGCGAGUGAAGCGGCAACAGCUCAAAUUUGAAAUCUGGCUCUUUCAGAGUCCGAGUUGUAAUUUGCAGAGGGCGCUUUGGCUUUGGCAGCGGUCCAAGUUCCUUGGAACAGGACGUCACAGAGGGUGAGAAUCCCGUACGUGGUCGCUAGCUAUUGCCGUGUAAAGCCCCUUCGACGAGUCGAGUUGUUUGGGAAUGCAGCUCUAAAUGGGAGGUAAAUUUCUUCUAAAGCUAAAUAUUGGCCAGAGACCGAUAGCGCACAAGUAGAGUGAUCGAAAGAUGAAAAGCACUUUGGAAAGAGAGUCAAACAGCACGUGAAAUUGUUGAAAGGGAAGCGCUUGCAGCCAGACUUGCUUGCAGUUGCUCAUCCGGGCUUUUGCCCGGUGCACUCUUCUGUAGGCAGGCCAGCAUCAGUUUGGGCGGUGGGAUAAAGGUCUCUGUCACGUACCUCUCUUCGGGGAGGCCUUAUAGGGGAGACGACAUACCACCAGCCUAGACUGAGGUCCGCGCAUCUGCUAGGAUGCUGGCGUAAUGGCUGUAAGCGGCCCGUCUUGAAACACGGACCAAGGAGUCUAACAUCUAUGCGAGUGUUUGGGUGUCAAGCCCGAGCGCGUAAUGAAAGUGAACGGAGGUGGGAACCCGCAAGGGUGCACCAUCGACCGAUCCUGAAGUUUACGGAAGGAUUUGAGUAAGAGCAUGGCUGUUGGGACCCGAAAGAUGGUGAACUAUGCUUGAAUAGGGUGAAGCCAGAGGAAACUCUGGUGGAGGCUCGCAGCGGUUCUGACGUGCAAAUCGAUCGUCAAAUUUGGGCAUAGGGGCGAAAGACUAAUCGAAC